rnacentral:rRNA from 1 species
GAUGAACGCUGGCGGCGUGCCUAAUACAUGCAAGUCGAGCGAACAGACAAGGAGCUUGCUCCUUUGACGUUAGCGGCGGACGGGUGAGUAACACGUGGAUAACCUACCUAUAAGACUGGGAUAACUUCGGGAAACCGGAGCUAAUACCGGAUAAUAUUUUGAACCGCAUGGUUCUAAAGUGAAAGACGGUUUUGCUGUCACUUAUAGAUGGAUCCGCGCCGGAUUAGCUAGUUGGUAAGGUAACGGCUUACCAAGGCAACGAUCCGUAGCCGAACUGAGAGGGUGAUCGGCCACACGGGAGAUGAGACACGGUCCAGACUCCUACGGGAGGCAGCAGUAGGGAAUCGUCCGCAAUGGGCGGAAGCCUGACGGAGCCACGCCGCGUGGGUGAUGAAGGCUCUCGGGUCGUAAAACUCUGUUAUUAGGGAAGAACAGAUGUGUAAGUAACUGUGCACGUCUUGACGGUACCUAAUCAGAAAGCCACGGCUAACUACGUG